rnacentral:rRNA from 1 species
UGCCAGACUCCUACGGGAGGCAGCAGUGGGGAAUAUUGCACAAUGGGGGGAACCCUGAUGCAGCGACGCCGCGUGGGUGAAGGAGUACUUCGGUACGUAAAGCCCUAUCAGCAGGAAAGAAAAUGACGGUACCUGACUAAGAAGCCCCGGCUAACUACGUGCCAGCAGCCGCGGUAAUACGUAGGGGGCAAGCGUUAUCCGGAUUUACUGGGUGUAAAGGGAGCGUAGGCGGUUUAGCAAGUCAGAAGUGAAAGCCCGGGGCUCAACUCCGGGACUGCUUUUGAAACUGUUGAACUAGAUUGCAGGAGAGGUAAGUGGAAUUCCUAGUGUAGCGGUGAAAUGCGUAGAUAUUAGGAGGAACACCAGUGGCGAAGGCGGCUUACUGGACUGUAAAUGACGCUGAGGCUCGAAAGCGUGGGGAGCAAACAGGAUUAGAUACCCCCGUAC